rnacentral:rRNA from 1 species
UACGUAGGGGGCAAGCGUUGUCCGGAUUUAUUGGGCGUAAAGAGCGUGUAGGCGGCCAGGUAGGUCAGCUGUGAAAACUCGAGGCUCAACCUCGAGACGCCGGUUGAAACCAUCUGGCUAGAGUCCGGAAGAGGAGAGUGGAAUUCCUGGUGUAGCGGUGAAAUGCGCAGAUAUCAGGAAGAACACCCGUGGCGAAGGCGGCUCUCUGGGACGGUACUGACGCUGAGGCACGAAAGCGUGGGGAGCAAACAGG